rnacentral:rRNA from 1 species
AUUGAACGCUGGCGGCAGGCUUAACACAUGCAAGUCGAGCGGAGAUGAGGUGCUUGCACCUUAUCUUAGCGGCGGACGGGUGAGUACUGCUUAGGAAUCUGCCUAUUAGUGGGGGACAACAUUCCGAAAGGAAUGCUAAUACCGCAUACGCCCUACGGGGGAAAGCAGGGGAUCUUCGGACCUUGCGCUAAUAGAUGAGCCUAAGUCGGAUUAGCUAGUUGGUGGGGUAAAGGCCUACCAAGGCGACGAUCUGUAGCGGGUCUGAGAGGAUGAUCCGCCACACUGGGACUGGGACACGGCCCAGACUCCUACGGGAGGCAGCAGUGGGGAAUAUUGGGCAAUGGGCGGAAGCCUGAUCCAGCCAUGCCGCGUGUGUGAAGAAGGCCUUUUGGUUGUAAAGCACUUUAAGCGAGGAGGAGGCUACCUGGAUUAAUACUCUAGGAUAGUGGACGUUACUCGCAGAAUAAGCACCGGCUAACUCUGUGCCAGCCGCCGCCGUAACAC